ACACAUGCAAGUCGAACGAUGAAGCCUUUCGGGGUGGAUUAGUGGCGAACGGGUGAGUAACACGUGGGCAAUCUGCCCUUCACUCUGGGACAAGCCCUGGAAACGGGGUCUAAUACCGGAUAACACUCUGUCCUGCAUGGGACGGGGUUAAAAGCUCCGGCGGUGAAGGAUGAGCCCGCGGCCUAUCAGCUUGUUGGUGGGGUAAUGGCCUACCAAGGCGACGACGGGUAGCCGGCCUGAGAGGGCGACCGGCCACACUGGGACUGAGACACGGCCCAGACUCCUACGGGAGGCAGCAGUGGGGAAUAUUGCACAAUGGGCGAAAGCCUGAUGCAGCGACGCCGCGUGAGGGAUGACGGCCUUCGGGUUGUAAACCUCUUUCAGCAGGGAAGAAGCGAAAGUGACGGUACCUGCAGAAGAAGCGCCGGCUAACUACGUGCCAGCAGCCGCGGUAAUACGUAGGGCGCAAGCGUUGUCCGGAAUUAUUGGGCGUAAAGAGCUCGUAGGCGGCUUGUCACGUCGGAUGUGAAAGCCCGGGGCUUAACCCCGGGUCUGCAUUCGAUACGGGCUAGCUAGAGUGUGGUAGGGGAGAUCGGAAUUCCUGGUGUAGCGGUGAAAUGCGCAGAUAUCAGGAGGAACACCGGUGGCGAAGGCGGAUCUCUGGGCCAUUACUGACGCUGAA
rnacentral:rRNA from 1 species